UUUCUGUAGAACAUACUGAAUGUAGUAUCCUUCAAUGAAGCCUUGUAUCUUAAGUCAACAACAAGAGCAAGCGUGCUUGCCUUGUUGGAAGUUGGCAACACUGUCCCUGUGCUUGGAGGUUGUUCAGACAACCAGCAGCUCUGUUAAAUUCAUUAACAAAGUCCACAGAUCAAACGACGGUGGUCCAAAGUUUUGUGUUCUUGAAUAAUGAGAACUGGGGACACUUGUGGAUUAAAAUAUGACCGGCCUACCCUUGAAAAGGGGUUAGACUCAUGCGUUCCGUAGGUGAACCUGGGGAAGGAUCAUUAAUGAGAACUAGCCCUUUUGGGUAGAUCUCCCACCCUAUGUUUAUAUACCUUUGUGCUUUGGCAGGCCUGCAGUUGUGCUGCUGGCCUUUGGCUAGUUAGUGCCUGCCAGAGAACCAACACGCUGAAUCAUUUAUUGUCUGAGUACUAUUUAAUAGUUAAAACUUUCAACAACGGAUCUCUUGGUUCUG
rnacentral:misc_RNA from 1 species